rnacentral:rRNA from 1 species
CUACGGGUCGCUGCAGUUAAGAAUCUUCCGCAAUGGACGAAAGUCUGACGGAGCGACGCCGCGUGGGUGAAGAAGGCCGAGAGGUUGUAAAGCCCUUUUCUGCUUGAGGAAUAAGCCUGGUAGGGAAUGACCGGGUGAUGACGGUAGGGCAGGAAUAAGCCCCGGCUAAUUACGUGCCAGCAGCCGCGGUAACACGUAUGGGGCGAGCGUUGUUCGGAAUCAUUGGGCGUAAAGGGCGUGUAGGCGGAAAUGCAAGUCUGGUGUGAAAGACCGCAGCUCAACUGCGGGGACGCGCUGGAAACUGCAUAUCUUGAGUUCCGGAGGGGGAGUUGGAAUUCCUGGUGUAGGGGUGAAAUCUGUUGAUAUCAGGAAGAACAUCGGUGGCGAAGGCGAACUCCUGGACGAGAACUGACGCUGAGGCGCGAAAGCGUGGGGAGCGAACAGGAUUAGAUACCCGAGUAGUC